GUGGCAACUCUGCUACCAUUGGUGUGUGUGUGUGUGUGAAUGGGUGAAUGAGAACCAGUGUAAAGCGCUUUAGAACCAUAGGGGUUAAGAAAGUGCAGACCAUUUCCCAUGCUUUUCUGUGAUAUAAUGGAUAUUCUGAUAUCCUUGGGUUAAAAAAAAAAUAAUUACAAAUUGUUAAAAGUUUUUAAAAUUAGAAGUGAAUAGAAGUAGUUAGAAGUUAGUAGUAGUUAGAAGUAGAAGUGGUUAGAAGUGAAUAGAAGUAGAAGUAGUUAGAAGUAGAAGUGAAUAGCAGUAGUUAGAAUUAGAAGUAGUUAGAAGUGAAUAGAAGUAGGUAGAAGUAGAAGUGAAUAGAAGUAGGUAGAAGGGAAUAGAAGUGGUUAGAAGUAGGUAGAAGUAGUUAGAAGUAGUAGUGAAUAGAAGUAAGAAGAAAUAGGUAGAAGUAGUCAGAAGUAGAAGUGGAUAGAAGUCGAAGUAGUUAGAAGUGAGUAGAAGUAGUUAGAUGUGGUUCGAAUUGAAUAGAAGCGGUUAGAAGUAGAAGUGAAUAAAAGUAAAUAGAAGUAGGUAGAUGUGAAUAGAAGUAGUUAGAAGUAGGAAUAGUUAGAAGUAAGUAGAAGUGAAUAGAAGUAGAAGUGAAUAGAAGUAGUUAGAAGUAGAAGUGAAUAGAAGUAGUAGAAUAGAAUAGAAGUAGAAGUGAAUUGAAGUGAAUAGAAGUAGAAGUGAAUAGAAGUGAGUAGAAGUAGAAGUAGUUAGAAGUGAGUAGAAGUGAAUAGAAGUAGAAGUGAGUAGAAGUAGUAAUGAGUAGAAGUAGAAGUGAGUAGAAGUAGUUAGUAGAAGUGAGUAGAAGUAGAAGUGAUUAGAAGUAGAAGUGAGUAGUUAGUAGAAGUGAUUAGAAGUAGAAGUGAGUAGUUAGUAGAAGUGAGUAGAAGUAUUAGUAGAAGUGAGUAGAAGUGAAUAGAAGUAGAAGUGAGUAGAAGUAGAAGUACUUAGUAGAAGUGA
ensembl:lncRNA